rnacentral:rRNA from 1 species
GAUGAACGCUGGCGGCGUGCCUAAUACAUGCAAGUCGAGCGAACGGACGAGAAGCUUGCUUCUCUGAUGUUACCGACGGACGGGUGAGUAACACGUAGAUAACCUCCCUAUAAGACUGGGAUAACUUCGGGAAACCGGAGCUAAUACCGGUUAAUAUUUUGAACCUCAUGGUUCAAAAGUGACAGACGGUCUUGCUGUCACUCAUAGAUGGCUCCGAGCUGCAUUAGCUAGUUAGUAAGGUACCGGCGUACCAAGGCAACGAUGCAUAGCCGACCUGCGAGGGUGAGUAGCCACCCUGGGACGGAGAUCCGGUACAGAGUCCCACGGGAAGCAGCCGUAGGGAAACGGGCGGCAUGGGCGGAAGACUUAGGGCGAUAGGCCGCGUGAGUGAUGAAGGUAUUCGGAUUGUAAAAUGAUGUUAUUAGGGAAGAAAAUAGGUGUAAGUAACGGUGCACAUCUUGACGGUACCUAAUCAGAAAGCCACGGCUAACUACGUG